CCCUUAGAUGUUCUGGGCCGCACGCGCGCUACACUGAUGCAUUCAACGAGUCCAACCUUGACCGAGAGGUCCGGGUAAUCUUUGAAACUGCAUCGUGAUGGGGCUAGAUUAUUGCAAUUAUUAAUCUUCAACGAGGAAUGCCUAGUAAGCGUGAUUCAUCAAAUCGCGUUGAUUACGGCCCUGCCCUUUGUACACACCGCCCGUCGCUCCUACCGAUUGAGUGUGUUGGUGAGGAGUUUGGAUUGGCCUCGGAAGGUGGUUCGCCACCGUCCGUAGCUGAGAAGUUCUCCAAACCGCCCCACUUAGAGGAAGGAGAAGUCGUAACA
rnacentral:rRNA from 1 species